GCCUUGUGCAGGACACACUGCUGCUUACAUGCCUGGGACUCAACUGCCAAGCGUCCGGUGUGGGAUCAGAGAAUUCAAGGGAUAAAAUAGAGAAGAGGACAAAUGUGAAACAGCACACAGUUGUGCACAGAUGAAGGAAAAAUGCCCCUGGGUAAAGGAAAAGGCCAGGAAGGGAAGAGGUUUCUUCAUCUGUCAGGGUGACAACGAACAUGUUCCAUGUAGCGUUCAUGAAAGGGGUUGAAGGAAGAACACUGCUAUUUGUAUUUUCUCUAAGCAGCCUGUGAUACGGAAUGGACCAGCUGGUCUGAACCCUUCCAGGCACUCACAGUGGGUUUGGGAAAGAGCCCUCUGUGUUCUUCUCACCAGUCAAGCAUGUGAAGGAGGGUAUGAAAAGGCACAGAGAGCCAUGGGGCCCAGAAAAUUCCAUCAAUCCAUCGCCUGCCUCCUCUGCAGCAGGCUCUGCCAAUCUGUCCACAGUUCCAGGGGCAGGUGGAGAGAGGGAUGUGAGGCAAUAAGUGGAAAUAGGAGCUGUGUGUGCCUUUGUGUGUGUGUGUGUGUGUGUGUGUGUGUGUCCGUCCAAGCACACAGACAGGACUAGCAAUAGAAGAGCAGGCAAGAGGGCGUGGGAGUCUGGGAACUCAUUUAUAAAAGCUCUUCUGCCCUAAAGCAAGUCAAACUCCCUGCUGAGGAGUUGCUUUUUCUUCCUCCCUUUUGAGUCUUCUGUGCAGAACUGACCUCUCCCCCCAGCAGAGGUCAGCGCCCUGCUGCCCUGCACACACUCAGCCUUCUGGGUCUUGCUUGACUUUGAGCCUGCACGGGAGAGCAGUCCUCAGCUCUAACUUCUGAC
rnacentral:lncRNA from 1 species